AACCAGGGGCGGAUCCAGCUCCUGAACUGACUGAUGCAUACAUAAGAACUCGCAUUUGUCGGGGGGUCCGGGGGUAUCCUCCCCCGGGAAAUUUUGAAAUCUAGAACCUCGGAAAUGCGAUUUCCUGCGUUCUGAGCAAACUCUUUUGUUCCAAUUCAUACAUCAGAGUCACAAAUUUAUUUGCUGCAUUUUUGGAAAGCACGUAAAAAACUUGAACCUAUAUAUAUAUCGCAAAAACAACAUAAUUUUUCCAUAUAAGAAAAAAUAUUUGCUUGUACAAGUGUAAUAGCAGCAGCGGUACAUAAAUCUCUAUUAAAAAAUAGUCAGUACUUACUACUGUGCUUCUUGUAGCCUUAACUUUUCUAUUGAAAAACAUUUCGGCAAAAAUCACGACAACGCAAAUACACACAUACGUGUAACAAAGGUGUAUACAGUGUGAUCCACUAGUUGCAAUGUUGGACUCAAAAGACAAUGUUAUUAGGUUUCUUAACCACCUUCCCUGAGGCUUAUUCAUUUCCACUAAUUUGCAAUGUUCCAUGAGUAAAUUUUUUAGCAUUAGAAUGGUGCAUAAAGGUAUUUUGUGCUCUAGUUGGUAAACUUAUUUAUAUACAACUCUGUCUUAUGCU